GGGGUCCACAUCAACUUCAGCUUUCUCAAGUUUGGUCCAUCUCCAGUCCCUGAUAGACAGAGAUCCCUGAUAAUGCCUCCCAGGCACCCUACCCCUGGCCACCUCCUCUCCUGUGGCCACAACACAGUUCUGGCCUGAAGCUUGCUGGUUGCAGUGAAGUUGUGAAGCUCCAGGUAAGCUCAACUUAGCUGCCUGGGAUGCCAGCUUUUGGGUU